AGGACGAGCAGCAAAAGCACUAAAGCAAGCACACACACACACAUAUAUAUACACACACACACACCCCAUCCUGCAUGCCUAAAGAUGACCCUCAAUCAUAUCUGGAGCUUUAUCUGCUUUCUGACAGCAGCGUCUGCUGUAACAGUGUCCUACCCGAGCAUCAACGGCUCCGAGACCCUGACCUGCUGCUGUCCGGACCACCAGUGUCUGAAGGCGUACUGGUACCGUUUACUUCAGGGAAGCGACACACCUGAGUUCAUAUUGUUUAUCAACAGCGUGAACACUCUGGUCUAUGCAGAAAACAUCGACAAAAAACGCUUCAAGGCAUUUGUAGCCGACUCAGGAAAGAUGUGUUACACGCUGCGCAUCUCUGGCUUACAGAAGCAAGAUGCAGGUUUCUACUCUUGUGUGCUCAACAGUCAGAAUUCAAUACAAAAUCCCAAAGAUCUGAUGCCUGACGGACACGUCAUCUGGCCAGGAGUAAUCAUAUCAACUCCAGCACCAACAGCAGUGAAAAAUCCAAAGCGUAUGAAGCCUCCCAACAGGUGCAAAUCCAGCAAUCAGUCGCCGAAAGGUACAGGCUUGGGUGCAAGUCUCUGGUUCUUUGGCCAGGCAUCGGUACUGUUCUGCUCCUGGUGGUGGUCCUGAUCUCAACACUGUAUUACUACAGCAGGCUACCCAAGAAGUGCAGACAUCACUUUGUUAAAACGAGGCAGCUGAGCUGAGACAGGACGAGACAAGACGAGACAUCACUCCAUCGUGGCAAACCUUUUUUUUUCCUAUAAAUAAAUCCUCUGUACAAUGAAACAUACUUUUUUUAUGCUUUCUUGCAGACGCCCCUUCCUUCACGCUCGAAUCAGAGAAUACCGUCAGGGCCGUAGUUCUCUUUCCCCUCCUUGUUCUGUAAUGUUUAUAUUUAUUUAUUUCUUCAGCAUGAUGCUUUUGUUUUUAUUACAGAUUACAAUCAUCUAAGCAACUAAGUAAGUUUUACUGAACCAGGAUUAAAACGUUCCUAGCUUGGACUCGACACAGGGAACAAGUUGAACGAUGUUCUUUGAGUGAAGAUUGUAAUGGUAAUGAUUUUUAAUAGAAAUAAUGGAUGUCAAGUGGCUCAAGGUUCGACUUAGUACUGCAGAGACGGAUAGUAUUUCUCAUACACUUCUUUUCCAAAUUGUAACUGAUAGUAAAGGAAAACAUGCUAUUUGAAAAAGCUUGUUUUUUUUAAAUUUGUCUUUUGAUAUUGAAAUUUUUAGCUGAUGUUCAAGUGAUUCUGUGGCAUUAUAAAGCAGCCAAAGGAUAAAGACAAAGAAAUUCGGCUCAUCCUGAAGUUGAGUCUUUUCCUAAAAGCUGUUUUAUUGCUCUUUCAGUAUUUGUCCCUGGAUCAUUUUUGUCCAUUUACAGUUACUUAUAAAGGUUUGUAAGAUCCAUAUAACAAGUCGUUUCCUUACCAGCUGUUGUCUUGUUUUCUCUCUCGGGAAGUUUGUCACGUUACUCGUGUUACUGAGAAACCUUUUAGUCCUGAAAACUUUCAUGUGUUGGAAAAACUUACAAAAUGCUGAGACUGAAGACUCCUUCCUUAAACUUUUAAUAAAUACAGUAUGUCCUCACAGAAAACGUCACAGUUACAUAUCAACAAUAACACAUUGCUUUUUAAAAAAAAAAAUCUGUAUAAAGAGAUAUUUUCUAUGCUAGUCUCCUUGUACGCUAACGAUAACGUAUUUCAACAGAGCUUUAAAGUACACAAAUCAACACUUUCUGACCAAUCAGAAUCGAGAAUUAAGCAGCACUGUGGUUUAAAGAUUACAUUAACUAGUGUCUGUUCUGUCCCUCGCUAACAUUUUUGGCAAUUUACAACCACAAGCAUAUUAGUAUUUGAAAUUUUUAUUUAUUUUCUAUCACAGAUGGCAUACACACUUGUUGAUUUACAAAUAAAUCAGUUAAUACAGAUAUAAUAAAUGAUAUAUUCACUCAUUUAAUACUGAAUUUGUUAAGCGUAUUAAUACUGUGAGUAAUGAGACUUAACGCUAGUUUAUUAUUCGUCAUGCUUUUUUACGCUAGCUAGUGGGACAGUUUUGAGAAAUGAUCUAGCUUCAUAUUGCAGGUUCAAUUUCAAGCUACAGAGUGAUAAGAAAUGGAAAAACUCAUUAAUAAUCGUUUGUCUGUACGUGAUUUAAUGAAGGACAUCUAGCUCAUUCACCUAAAUGCUUCUGUAACUUUCUAGUACUUUAUUUUUCCAAAAAUCUAUAUAUCUUUUUCCAUUCAAAGUAUUUUUGUUUUUUUUUUGUUGUACUGUUUUUUUGCUCAAACCUGAACCUUUUCCCCCAAAGAUCAUCCCAUUAAAA